GGUGCUCUGGCACCUCAGCAUGUUGGGCCUUCGGGUCAACUGGGAAAAGAGCAAACUCUCGCAGACACAGAGGAUCUCUUUUCUCGGUAUGGAGUUGGAUUCGGUCGCACAGACAGCACGCCUCACAGAGGAACGUGCGCGGUCGGUGCUAGCCUGCUUGAAUACGUUCGAGGGCAGGACAGCGGUCCCACUGAAACUUUUUCAGAGGCUCCUGGGGCAUAUGGCGGCCACAGCGGCACUUACACGCUCGGCCUGUUAGAUCUGGUCAGAUCUUGCGUUUCUCUGGGCAGGGGUGCCCCUAGAGCAGAUCUCCAGGCAUGCUGUGGUUUACACGGAUGCCUCCACCACCGGCUGGCGGGCCACGUACAACGGGCAUGCAGUCUCAGGGGUUUGGACGGGCCCGCAGCUGCAGUGGCACAUCAAUUGCCCGGAGUUGUUAGCAGUACACCUUGCCUUGAACCGUCUCAAAGGUUGCUUACGAGGCAAGCAUGUGCUGGUCCGAAUGGACAACACAGUGACCGUUGCGUACAUCAACCGACAAGGUGGUCUGCGCUCCCGUCGCAUGUCACAACUCGCCCGCCACCUCCUCCUUUGGAGUUGGAAGGUUCUGAGGUCACUUCGUGCCGUUCACAUUCCAGGCCUGCUCAACCGUACAGCCGACGAGCUGUCUCGAGCAAUGCUCCCAGGAGAAUGGCGACUCCAUCCCCUGACGGUCCAGCUGAUUUGGAGACGGUUCGGAGCCGCUCAGGUAGACCUGUUUGCUUCUCCAGAGACCGCUCACUGCCAGUUGUUCUACUCCCUGACCGAGGGAACUCUCGGCAGGGAUGCACUGGCACACAGCUGGCCGCAGGGCCUACGCAAAUAUGCGUUUCCCCCAGUGAGCCUUCUUGCACAGACACUGUGCAAAGUCCGGGAGGACGAGGAGCAAGUCUUGCUAGUGGCGCCGUAUUGGCCCACGCGGACCUGGUUCCCCGAACUGGUGCUCCUCGCGACAGCCGAUUGCAGAUUCCUCUGAGGAAGGAUCUACUGAGCCAAAGUUUAUUUCAUUGAAAACUCUGCUCCUGUUUGCACUGGCCUCCAUCAAUAGGGUAGGGGACCUGCAUGCAUUUUCGGUCUACGAUUCGUGCCUAGAGUUUGGGCCGGCUGACUCCCAGGUAAUCCUGAGGCCCCGGGCCGGCUACGUGCCCAAGGUUCCCACUACACCCUUCAAAGACCAUGGGUGAACCUGCAAGCGCUGCCCCUAAAGGAGGCAGACCCAGCCCUGGCUUUGCUCUGUUCCUUCCGAGCAUUGAGAUGCUACGUAGACCGGACACAAAGC
ensembl:lncRNA